AGAUUCCCAAAACUUGCAUAACCAACGCAACAGGAGAGAGUUAACCGCAGCUUCUGUUUGCUAUGUUGUCUAAAAACUCAAAGAUUUGACGUAUUACAAAUACACAGCAGGCCUUGACAUUAGAACCUAUACACUAUUUGUCAAUAACUAUAACUAUGUAAAUAAUGCAGUUUUGUAGCAAGUGGAUAAAUUUAGCUUUGUGAAGCAAAUGGAUAAAAAGGGGCCGUGUGUUGAAGUGGAUAAACAAGGCAGUAUGUAGUGAAUGGAUAAAUGAAUCCGUGUGUAGUAUUACAGUGGAUGUAGCAAGUAGAUAAAUGAGUCGUGUGUAGUAAGUGAAUAAAUAGGCGAAUUGUAGCAAGUGAGUAAGUGAGGCAAAUUGUAGCAAGUGGAUAAAUGAGGGGCGCUAAUUGUGUCAAGGACAUUUGAAUUAAGUUGUAUAUAUAUGGCAAGUAAAUACAUGUAGCGUAUAAAAAAAGUUCAUAAGUUAAAAGUAUAUAAAUGGGGUAUUGUACAAAUUUUAAUUUGAGCGACUUUUUCCAGGUGUGUUAUUCCACCUUAAUGCAUGUUUUAUCUAUUUGUAUAAUUUAAUUUUGAUAUGUGUUUUGUCCGGUAAAUUGUUGAAGGUAAAGGAAUAUUAUGU
rnacentral:misc_RNA from 1 species